GAAAAAUACAAAUUUGUUUGACAUUUUAAAGUUUAAACAAAAAAUGUCAAACAAAUUUGUUGCAUUGUUGUUGUUGUCAUGUAUUGUGAGCGUUCAAAGUUAUGUUAACAUAAUAAGCCCAGCAGAAUGCUUUGAUUAUUGCUACCAUGCCAUGGCUAUGCCCAAAAUCAUUGCCGAAAAAGUGUGUCAUUGGCGUUGUGAUAAUUUCGCCAUGUACGAAGCUGUUAAGUCGGGGGGAUUGAGAGGAAAGAUUCAUGACUUCUCCGGUCCAACUGCAUCUCCGGCGAGUUCUCCAGUCCCAUAA